rnacentral:rRNA from 1 species
AACGUAGGAGACAAACGUUAUCCGGAGUUACUGGGCGUAAAGGGCGUGUAGGUGGUUUCGUAAGUCUGGCGUGAAAUAUCUCGGCUUAACCGAGGCAGGUCGUCGGAUACUGCGGAACUGGAGGACGGUAGAGGCGUGUGGAAUUCCGGGUGUAGUGGUGAAAUGCGUAGAGAUCCGGAGGAACACCAGUGGCGAAGGCGACACGCUGGGCCGUUUAGCUGACACUGAGGCGCGACAGCGUGGGGAGCAAACAGG